AACGAACGCUGGCGGCAUGCCUAACACAUGCAAGUCGAACGAGACCUUCGGGUCUAGUGGCGCACGGGUGCGUAACGCGUGGGAACCUGCCCUUAGGUUCGGAAUAACUCCCCGACAGGGGUGCUAAUACCGGAUAAUGUCUUCGGACCAAAGAUUUAUCGCCUUUGGAUGGGCCCGCGUUGGAUUAGCUAGUUGGUAGGGUAAAAGCCUACCAAGGCGACGAUCCAUAGCUGGUCAGAGAGGAUGAUCAGCCACACUGGGACUGAGACACGGCCCAGACUCCUACGGGAGGCAGCAGUGGGGAAUAUUGGACAAUGGGCGAAAGCCUGAUCCAGCAAUGCCGCGUGAGUGAUGAAGGCCUUAGGGUUGUAAAGCUCUUUUACCCGGGAUGAUAAUGACAGUACCGGGAGAAUAAGCUCCGGCUAACUCCGUG
rnacentral:rRNA from 1 species